rnacentral:rRNA from 1 species
AACGAACGCCGGCGGCAUGCCUAACACAUGCAAGUCGAACGAUGCUUUCGGGCAUAGUGGCGCACGGGUGCGUAACGCGUGGGAAUCUGCCCUGGGGUUCGGGAUAACAGCGGGAAACUGCUGCUAAUACCGGAUGAUAUCGCGAGAUCAAAGAUUUAUCGCCCUGGGAUGAGCCCGCGUCGGAUUAGGUAGUUGGUGGGGUAAGAGCCUACCAAGCCGACGAUCCGUAGCUGGUCUGAGAGGAUGAUCAGCCACACUGGGACUGGGACACGGCCCAGACUCCUACGGGAGGCAGCAGUGGGGAAUAUUGGACAAUGGGCGCAAGCCUGAUCCAGCAAUGCCGCGUGAGUGAUGAAGGCCUUAGGGUUGUAAAGCUCUUUUACCCGGGAUGAUAAUGACAGUACCGGGAGAAUAAGCCCCGGCUAACUCCGUG